UGGGGGGGAAGGGUUAGCCGAUGACAUUUUGGGGAAUAAAAAUCAAAUUUUAGAUCACCCCUUUAAAAGCGGUCGUGAAGCCCAUCGCCAUGUUGACUCCCACAGUUCGCAUGCGUGCAUAAAUUAAUAUUGGACCAACGAACUUUAUCAAAUACAAAGUACACAGCUCACCAUUUGCUCGCGGCUCCUCGAACUCAUUAGCGAUCGGUGCAUUUAAUGUUCAGAAGUUUUUAAGUUUGACGCGACCGUUACGUAACAAUGGAGUGGGGCGGUAGAUUCAGACUGGCAGGCACCGUGCUGGCAUUUGUAGGUGCUUGGCUGAUCCGCUUGUUGGUCGACUCCGCCAACAUGGGUCUGUAUAUGAGAAGCUGUCUGUUGGGACUGGUAGCAAGUCUCCUCCUGUUGGCCUCCGUGUUUGCUUUCCACAUGAGCAUCAUCCCGUGUUCUCCAGACCACACUCUGCCGUCGCUCCUGAGAUGCUACGUGAGCAACCAAGUCUACUCCUUGCGCUACCCAUUCAUCAAAGCCAAGCUGAGACGAGAGUGGAGAAGCCCGCAGCGUGCCCAGGAGACAUUUCUGCGUCAACUCAUCGCCCGAGACGCCGAGACCGAGUACGGACUGAAGUUCCGCCUGGGAGACAUAGAGAAUGUCGCCGAACUUCAGAGGAAACAUCCCCUGACUUCCUACGAGGAUUACAGGGAGUACAUGCAGAGGCUGGCUGACGGGGAGCGAGGCGUGUGUGUCGGGGAGGAGGUCGUCAGAUUUGGUAUCACCUCCGGUACAACCGGAGUCGGUAAGCUGAUCCCGAUCGUGGCAUCACGAACAAACGUGAUUUGGUUCUCGUUGUCGGAGGUAGUCUUCCCGGCCAAUGAAGCCUUCGGCCGGCCGAGUCCCCUGCAGCGCAGGUGCACCUUGUACUGCAAACCUACCCUGAAUCAGACCAAAUCUGGUCGUGUCGUCUCGCCGCUGUUCUUUGUCUCGCCCAGUGACCAGUUUACCCUGGACAUGAGUAACACACCGCCUGCUGGAUUCCAGAUCUCCACCGACUUUGAGGCAAACUACGUCCACCUCCUCUUUGCCCUCCGGGAUAGACAUAUCGGGACGUUCCUCGCCCCUUUCACGGCGCUGGUGUACAGAGCAAUGAAACUGAUCGAGGACAACUGGCAGACCCUGCUCGAUGACAUCACCAAGGGGAGACUUAACCCGGAGCUCGCGAUAUCGGACGAGAUUCGGCGUGAUUUGAAUGCCGCUCUUUCUCCAAAUCCCGAGAGAGCUGGGGAACUCCGCGCCGAGUUUUCCAAGGGAUUUGUCGGGAUCGUUUCGAGGAUGUGGCCCAACUUCAAGCACAUAUUCUCCGUUGAAAUGGGUGGAUUUCGAACUAAACUGGACAAGACCUACACGAAAGGAACGCCAAUUUACCAAGGAAUAUACAUGUGUACGGAGACCUGCAUUGGAAUGAAUUUGUGGCCGACUGAUCCGCAAGCGAAGUAUAGCCUGCUCGUCAACGAAAAUAUAUACGAGUUCAUUCGCGAGGAAAACUGCAAAGACGAAAACCCACAAACUUUGCUGAUCGACGAGGUGGAAGUUGGGCAGACGUACGAACUCGUACUCACGACUCGCUGUGGCUUGUACCGCUACCGGAAUGGCGACGUGGUCAAGGUUGUGGGCAUCCACGAGAAAUGCCCGGUCAUUAAGUUCGAAUACAGGAAAGCGGAGUUGCUGAAUCUUCGCAGUGAGAAGGUAACGGCGGUCACCAUGCAGACGGUGGUGCAGGAAUUCAUGUCCCAGCUUCCAGGAGCCAGACUUGUCAAUUGGACGUGUGCAGAAAGUCCACUGCUUUCUGAUACCAAAGGAGGUGACAGCUACGAAAUCUUCUAUCUCGUGUUUAUAGAAGUGGAAAACGUUUCACCACUUGAGAACACAACGGAAUGGGCACCAAAGUUUGACCAAGUUUUGCGGAGACAUCACCAUUUUUACAACUACCUCCGCAACAGCGCGACCCUCGCCAUGGCGCAUGUGCACCAGGUGAAGCCAGGCUCGUUCGACAAGCUGAAGGAAUUCAUCGUGGCAAACUCAUCAGCCUCUGUCAAUCAAUUUAAGUCACCACGGAAACUCCGCGAUACAGACGUCCUGGAACUGAUGAUGUCCCACAUUAUGUAAUCAGCUCAAAUUAUCGUUAAACAAAGCAAAAAUUUGGUUUACUUAAUCUGUAAUUGCGAAGAAAACACGACUUACAAAGUCUUCGUAAUAUUGAUUCAACCGUCAAUAAAUAAAAAAGUAUUUCAAAGUCAAACUAAAAUCAGUGCAAACAAUUAUGAACAAUGAGACAAAGUAAAUGUUUAAGUCAAGGUACAUGUACAUAUAAUAAUUGAAAGAAUACUU
rnacentral:misc_RNA from 1 species